rnacentral:rRNA from 1 species
UACGAAGGGGCUAGCGUUGCUCGGAAUCACUGGGCGUAAAGCGCACGUAGGCGGGUUGCCAAGUCGGGGGUGAAAUCCUGGAGCUCAACUCCAGAACUGCCUUCGAUACUGGCGACCUUGGAGUCCGGGAGAGGUGAGUGGAACUGCGAGUGUAGAGGUGAAAUUCGUAGAUAUUCGCAAGAACACCAGUGGCGAAGGCGGCUCACUGGCCCGGUACUGACGCUGAGGUGCGAAAGCGUGGGGAGCAAACAGG